AGNCGUAACAAGGUCUCCGUAGGUGAACCUGCGGAGGGAUCAUUACACAAAUAUGAAGGCGGGCUGGAGCCUCUCGGGGUUACAGCCUUGCUGAAUUAUUCACCCUUGUCUUUUGCGUACUUCUUGUUUCCUUGGUGGGUUCGCCCACCACUAGGACAAACAUAAACCUUUUGUAAUUGCAAUCAGCGUCAGUAACAAAUUAAUAAUUACAACUUUCAACAACGGAUCUCUUGGUUCUGGCAUCGAUGAAGAACGCAGCGAAAUGCGAUAAGUAGUGUGAAUUGCAGAAUUCAGUGAAUCAUCGAAUCUUUGAACGCACAUUGCGCCCUUUGGUAUUCCAAAGGGCAUGCCUGUUCGAGCGUCAUUUGUACCCUCAAGCUUUGCUUGGUGUUGGGCGUCUUGUCUCUAGCUUUGCUGGAGACUCGCCUUAAAGUAAUUGGCAGCCGGCCUACUGGUUUCGGAGCGCAGCACAAGUCGCACUCUCUAUCAGCAAAGGUCUAGCAUCCAUUAAGCCUUUUUUUCAACUUUUGACCUCGGAUCAGGUAGGGAUACCCGCUGAACUUAAGCA
rnacentral:rRNA from 1 species